CGUCGAUGAGGAUAACUCUAAGGCCUGUUUCUCAAAACAUUCGCAGUGGCCGCCUAAGAGCUUUCGCCUUCGCCGGGCUUGAGAGCUACUGCUGCUUCAAUCCUUCCUUGGAUGUCUGAGACU
rnacentral:snoRNA from 1 species